GGGUACGAUCAUACCAGCACUAAUGCACCGGAUCCCAUCAGAACUCAGCUGUCAAGCGUGCUUAAGCGAGAGUAGUACUAGGAUGGGUGACCGCCCGGGAAGUCCUCAUGUUGCACCCC
rnacentral:rRNA from 1 species